GGGCCUUUUCCUUCUCCUCUUCCUCCCUUUCAUCAGCCCUCCUUUGCAACUUUUCUACCCUUGAUUUGAGCACUCGGUUUGGCCCUUGGCAAUGCAUUUCUCCAAGGAAAAGGAUGGACCAUGCAUUGCCUGCAAUAUCCCAAGUGAUCCGACCCCCUGAAUCUGUCCCCACAUUUCUCUACCCGGAGCUUUUACUAAUGACCAUCGGAGAUUAGGGCAAGAACUCACCCGGCU